UCCCUGGUGGUGCAGUGGUUAGGACUCUGCACUUCCACUGUAGAGGGCACAAGUUCGAUCCCUGGUCAGAGAA
rnacentral:tRNA from 1 species